rnacentral:tRNA from 1 species
GAGGUUCAUAGGUUGCAGCGAGAUUUCUAAUUUUACUGUGAGCGGUUCGAUUCCGUUUGUGUCUCU